rnacentral:piRNA from 1 species
UGAAUAAAGGGGCUAAGGAGAUAGCGAGC